GUUUGCAAGGCUGAAAUCUCCCAAACAGAUUUAGUCCCUCUUUACGGGCGUGGGGAAACACUACCUGAAUCUGAGCCUGAAAACAAGCUCACUCUAAAAGUGCCUCCCAGGCCACCUGCUUUCAGUCCAUCAUCCAUGUCAAACUCCUUUAACCCUUCUCAGCAACCACCACAUCCUAAUGCCUAUGAUCCCCAUGCCAGUUACCUCAACAGUUCAUCGCCUCCUUCAUUCAGUCUCGGAAACAAUACAUCAGUUGGAGUCUUUCAUCCAGUUGUUGGAAUGUUCGGAGAGAUGGUUUACGAGAGGGUAUUUGGUAACUCAGAGA
rnacentral:misc_RNA from 1 species